GUUGAACGCUGGCGGCGUGCCUAAUACAUGCAAGUCGAGCGAUCGGACGAGAAGCUUUCCUCUCUGAUGUUAACCGCGGACGUGUUAGUAACACGUGUAUAACCUACCUAGAAGACUGUAAUAACUUCGGUAAACCGUAGCUAAUACCGGCUAUUAUUGUGAGCCGCAUGGUUCAAAAGUUAAAGCCGGUCUUGCUGCCACUGUUAGAUUAAGCCGUGUUGGAUUAGCUAGUUGGUAAGGUAAAGGCUUACCAAGGCAACGAUGCAUAGCCGGCCUGAGAGGACGAUCGGCCACACUGGAACUGAGACACGGUCCAGACUCCUACGGGAGGCAGCAGUAGGGAAUCUUGCGCAAUGGGCGAAAGCCUGACGCAGCAACGCCGCGUGCAUGAUGAAGGUCUUCGGAUCGUAAAACUCUGUUAUUCGGGACGAACAUAUGUGUAAGAAUCUGUGCAGAUAUUGACGGUACCUAAUCAGAAAGCAACGGCUAACUACGUG
rnacentral:rRNA from 1 species